rnacentral:rRNA from 1 species
GACGAACGCUGGCGGCGUGCCUAAUACAUGCAAGUAGAACGCUGAAGCGAGGAGCUUGCUCUUCUUGGAUGAGUUGCGAACGGGUGAGUAACGCGUAGGUAACCUGCCUGGUAGCGGGGGAUAACUAUUGGAAACGAUAGCUAAUACCGCAUAACAACAGUUGUUGCAUGACAGCUGUUUAAAAGAUGCAAUUGCAUCACUACCAGAUGGACCUGCGUUGUAUUAGCUAGUUGGUGAGGUAACGGCUCACCAAGGCGACGAUACAUAGCCGACCUGAGAGGGUGAUCGGCCACACUGGGACUGAGACACGGCCCAGACUCCUACGGGAGGCAGCAGUAGGGAACCUUCGGCAAUGGGGGAACCCUGACCGAGCAACGCCGCGUGAGUGAAGAAGGGUUUCGGAUCGUAAAGCUCUGUUGUAAGAGAAGAACGGGUGUGAGAGUGGAAAGUUCACACUGUGACGGUAUCUUACCAGAAAGGGACGGCUAACUACGUG